CAAGUACUCCCUCCGUUCCAAAUUACUUGUCACAGGAAUGGAUGUAUCUAGAUGCAUUUUAGUUUUAGAUACAUCCAUUCCUGCGACGAGUAAUUUGGAACGGAGGGAGUAGAAG
rfam:Triticum aestivum genome assembly, contig: Triticum_aestivum_CS42_TGACv1_scaffold_306901_4AS